rnacentral:rRNA from 1 species
AACAGGAUUAGAUACCCUGGUAGUCCACGCCGUAAACGGUGGACGCUGGAUGUGGGGCCCAUUCCACGGGUUCCGUGUCGGAGCUAACGCGUUAAGCGUCCCGCCUGGGGAGUACGGCCGCAAGGCUAAAACUCAAAGAAAUUGACGGGGGCCCGCACAAGCGGCGGAGCAUGCGGAUUAAUUCGAUGCAACGCGAAGAACCUUACCUGGGCUUGACAUGUGCCUGUCGACUGCAGAGAUGUGGUUUCCCUUCGGGGCAGGUUCACAGGUGGUGCACGGUCGUCGUCAGCUCGUGUCGUGAGAUGUUGGGUUAAGUCCCGCAACGAGCGCAACCCUCGCCCUGUGUUGCCAGCGGGUUAUGCCGGGAACUCACGGGGGACCGCCGGGGUUAACUCGGAGGAAGGUGGGGAUGACGUCAGAUCAUCAUGCCCCUUACGUCCAGGGCUUCACGCAUGCUACAAUGGCCGGUACAACGGGAUGCGACAUGGUGACAUGGAGCGGAUCCCUUAAAACCGGUCUCAGUUCGGAUCGUAGUCUGCAACUCGACUACGUGAAGGCGGAGUCGCUAGUAAUCGCGAAUCAGCAACGUCGCGGUGAAUGCGUUCCCGGGCCUUGUACACACCGCCCGUCAAGUCAUGAAAGUGGGCAGCACCCGAAGCCGGUGGCCUAACCCUUUUGGGAUGGAGCCGUCUAAGGUGAGGCUCGUGAUUGGGACUAAGUCGUAACAAGGUAACC